rnacentral:rRNA from 1 species
UACGUAGGGCGCAAGCGUUGUCCGGAAUUAUUGGGCGUAAAGAGCUCGUAGGUGGUUUGUCGCGUCUGUCGUGAAAGCCCGGGGCUCAACUCCGGAUCUGCGGUGGGUACGGGCAGACUAGAGUGAUGUAGGGGAGACUGGAAUUCCUGGUGUAGCGGUGAAAUGCGCAGAUAUCAGGAGGAACACCGAUGGCGAAGGCAGGUCUCUGGGCAUUAACUGACGCUGAGGAGCGAAAGCAUGGGGAGCGAACAGG